rnacentral:rRNA from 1 species
AUUGAACGCUGGCGGCAGGCUUAACACAUGCAAGUCGAGCGGAGAUGAGGUGCUUGCACCUUAUCUUAGCGGCGGACGGGUGAGUAAUGCUUAGGAAUCUGCCUAUUAGUGGGGGACAACAUUCCGAAAGGAAUGCUAAUACCGCAUACGUCCUACGGGAGAAAGCAGGGGUUCUUCGGACCUUGCGCUAAUAGAUGAGCCUAAGUCGGAUUAGCUAGUUGGUGGGGUAAAGGCCUACCAAGGCGACGAUCUGUAGCGGGUCUGAGAGGAUGAUCCGCCACACUGGGACUGGGACACGGCCCAGACUCCUACGGGAGGCAGCAGUGGGGAAUAUUGGACAAUGGGGGGAACCCUGAUCCAGCCAUGCCGCGUGUGUGAAGAAGGCCUUAUGGUUGUAAAGCACUUUAAGCGAGGAGGAGGCUACUGAGACUAAUACUCUUGGAUAGUGGACGUUACUCGCAGAAUAAGCACCGGCUAACUCUGUGCCAGCAGCCGCCGUAACAC